GGCGGAACAGGAGCUAGAAAUGCUUAGGAGGGGGAAUAUUUGAUGUGCUUCACUGUUGCAGUGUUUCCAAAGCCUUGAAGAUUAUGAUCCUUGUUAAGAUUAGUGUAGCGUCCGUGUAAUAGUCCAUCUUCUAGGAACUAUUGCAGUUGUUCUGAGCCAUGUGGCCAUGUCUAGUUCCCUUGUGGCAUUUGGUGGCCUUGGAUCUUAAAGUUUUCCUCUCCCAAAGUGGCCUUCAUCAAGAUGUGGAUGCUAUUGAAAGGUACUGAUUAGGAAUUUUAUACACUGCCUCUUGGUUAGGCUCUGUUUGCUACUGUUCUCAUUUCCUCUGUGCUGUGAGCUUUGGGGGAGGCAUAUAAAGAUAUAAGGCACUCUUCCUAUAGCAUCAUAGUAGGGCUACAUGCUUUUGCUGUGAGUUGGCCUCAUGUCCAACUGCCCUAUAUAUCAGUAUUUGUUUAUGUUGAUUGAUAAAUAAUAUUCACUGUGCUUAUGUUGCAGAUUUUAUUUUAUUUUU